CAUGGCCGGGCGAGUGGGCGACCGGCGACGAUCGGACGAUGGGCGACGAUGGGCGAUUAGAGGUCAGGUGUAGCGGUAGCCGCGGGGUGUGGUGCUUUGAUCGGCUCGAGAAGAGGGGAGAGCACGCCGCCCGGCUGUACAGAAGCCGGGGCGGCGGGCCACGCACGCUCGGGCGGCUGCCGUUCCCGCCGCUCCGCUCCGGGGCGAGCGGCAGCACCAAUGCAAUGCGGCGAACUAGCUGUGCCUCCUCCGUACCCGGGUCGACGCCAAGCGCCGCGGCUACCAGGACUGGUUGUACAGGAUGAUGCCGUAGGGCGACCACAGGCACUACAAGAGGCCGGUGGAGCCGUUGCAGGCGGAGCGGCCGCGGUGCGAGCCGUUGAGGACCCGGUGGCAGUGGCCGAUGCGGAAGCAGUGGCCAUACUCGCCGCGGGACCUCUGCGAUACGCCCGUCCGGAUGCCGCGGGUUGAUAUGGCGUACGAUCCCGACAUGGACGUCAGCAGCGAGUAGUACAGCCGCCACCACAGGCACCAGUAGCGGCAGUACACCAACAAGUGCCUCGGCGACGAAGACACGGACGCAGUCCUCGGGCUCCACAGGGCGCGGCGGCGCCACAAGUAAGCCAUGGUCUAGGGGCCGGACAAGCGGAAGAGGAAGGACGUCACGGAGGACGCCAUGGACGUCUGCGUCAGGCAGCAGCACGGCGAGCAGCAGACGAGACACCACGGCAAGCGCGAGGUGCAGGGCGACUUGGUGGACGACCACUUGCACGAGCCGAAACCGGAGCGGCCGCGCAGACGACGGUAGAGGUGGUGGAAGACCAAGAGGACGAACUACGACGAACCCAUGCACUACACCAGGUUCUUCAAAUCGCUCUGCACCUUCCCGAAGAGGCGGCUGCGCAAGUUGAUGCAUGACGGGUGCUAGUUCGAGCGGCACGGGAGGCGGCAGUACCAAACGAACCUCAUGACCCGCAAACUCGAAGACCAAGAAUAACGCCCGAACGAUGGCUUAAGGUGUCACUCGUGCAGUGACUAGCGGUACACGAGCUCGUGCCUCCGCUAGCGGAUGUACUAGUGGAUGCCUGAGUCACGUCGACAUUCCAUGCAUGCUAGAGUUAAGAGUUCAAGAAAAAAACAACGGCAUUCGUGCCGGACAAGAAAGAAUAGAAAGUAGCAAACGCGGAAAACGUCGUGGGCCCACAGCUUACUCUAGCCUCGUCCCUUGCACCUGUGCCGCUUCUUACGCCAGCGCCACUGCGACUUCGACAGCCACAAGGAGCGAAAGAGGAAGCAGGACGACGACCCGAAGCCGGUGCCGGAAACCCGCUCCGAGAAGUCGCCCUCGCUCCACUAACGCCGUCUUAAGCGCCGGUAGUGGGGCGAGUACUACCAGAGCUAGCACGAACUGAGACGCGUCCCGUAUGACAGUCCCCACCGCUCCCCGACGCCUACCGUCGUGGACCGCCGCUAUUGCUUGGAACACCGCAAGAUGAAGUAGCCGUACGGCAACCGGUAGGAGAAACGGAAGUUCGAGUUGAAGAUGUGGUUCCCAAAUACCAGCCCAGACUAGACGCCCGACUGAACGGUCUGGCCGUGCGACCACCACUAGUGGCGGGCGUGCUUUACCCGGUUCUAGCGCCUACGCUACGUCGUUGUCUUCCGGUUGAUACAGCGAACUAGCUACUAUAACACACACCGAUCGUGAACAUACAUGCCCCAAAACACUCUACCGGUCUCGCACGCUACAAACUCGACAACAAAUCGGAAUACUUCAUUCGAUAUCGAAAAAACUGGCACAUGAAGCUCCCUAAAUACAGAGGCUUUCUAGCUUGAACAUUACCGCUAAUUCGUCUCUCAUAUGUCCUGUUUGUAUGUAUGGCCCUG
rnacentral:rRNA from 1 species